rnacentral:lncRNA from 1 species
UAACUUUCUUGCUUCGGAUGGAGGAGAUGAGAAACAACUUACAGCGUCAAUCUUAUUACUGGUAAUAGCCAAAGAAGUAUGUUUUUCAUACUUAGUGUACGGAAUGAAAAAAAAACCUCUUUCAAGGUCGUUAUAGAGUUGCGUUUAGUCGUUUAUCGUUGUAUUCGUUUAUUUUAAAAUCGCUACUGACAAAAGUAUAAAAGAAAAAACUGGCAGCUUUCUGGCCACGGUCAUUAAUAGAUAUUAUGAAAGAAAAAUAGAACCGUAACUGCAACUUACGUUACUAGCAACUUACCACGGCUAUCUUAAAACAACUAAUGGCUAAAAAAGUAUGCUUGAUAUACUCUAUGUAUGGCAGAAAACAAAAGAAAUCAUUUUCGCCUCUUACAAGGUGCAAGAAAAGAGAUUGUAUGACUUCGGUGUCCGCAAUACGAUAUCGUGCAUUGAUUUCCAUCUUAAAAUGGCUCCCUUCUGUAUAGGUGGAAAUAGGUUAUGUCUUUUUUUAAAAUUCUUAAAACGAAGAAGUUUAAUCGGUUUAAACAAAGAUGACGAUGAUCAUUAUCGAGCCGAUCAUGAUGACUAAUACGAUAAUGCAUUUAAUAAUAAAUAUCAUGAUUUUAAUUGUA